rnacentral:lncRNA from 1 species
GAUCAGAGAAUUGAGGCCAAUUAGUAUUGCAAAUUGAAAGAUUGGAAGUCUCAACAACCAGAGGCAUCAAUGCAUUAGCUGACAUAGCACAAGGGGCAACAUAGAGAACUAUCCACUGCUUAGUAUGAAAGCUCAAAUAGCAACAACAUGGAGAAAUAUAGAGGGAAAACAGGUGAGGUAAAGACAGAAACUAGAAGCAUUUUUUUGUUCCAAAAAUAAUAUCUAAACUCCCCUUUUUUAAAGUUCCCUGCAAUCAUAUUAUAAGUGAUAAAAGGUAUAUUAAAAACGCAUUAUCAUAUUCCGAUAUUAACAAUCCGAGCCAAGGACAACAAGAGAAAGGCCUUCAGGUAUCAUGUGAGAAACAGGUACUAUGAUAACAAGCAUUAAACCAAAGCAACUUUUUUCUCAUGCGGCAAGAAUUAUAAGUAAAUACUCAUAAAAGUGUACAAAAUUUCUCAAAAAAAAAAUAAAAUAAAAGUUUAUAAAAGAUAAAUGUCAUGAAACAAAAAAACACCACUAAAAUAUUAACGAAAAAAAAAC